GCCCCCUUGGCGGAAUUGGUAGACGCGCCGCACUCAAAAUGCGGUUCCCUAGGGAGUGCUGGUUCGAUCCCGGCAGGGGGCACCA
rnacentral:tRNA from 1 species